rnacentral:misc_RNA from 1 species
GGUUGCUAUUAAUGGACGAGUCUAUGCUCUAGAUGAAGUCUUUCCUGCUGUAUUUUAUGUAUUUUCUAGUGCUUCACCUACAUUGAUUAAGCACUUCAUCCAUCUAUGAGGAAAAUUGAAAAGAAAGGGGAAUCAAAAUGUUGAUUAAAGUUUCCACAUUUUUUACAUGUCAUGGUUAUUAGGAAAUUUGGGUGAUUUUAAUGGAGUCUUUUAGAUGCAGAAGAGCUAUAACAUGGCAACUUAAAAGAAACUGAACUCUUUUGUUCCUAUCUUUUGUGUAGUACACUUUUGUUGGUUAGAAUUCG